AUGGACUGGGCGGCGCACACCGCACACAUACGCGCCCAGCUGGAGCGCGCGCAACGCCGGUUCAAGAAGAAUGCUAACCGCAACCGCACCGAGCGCCAUUUCCAGGAGGGGGAACAAGUCCUGCUCAAGCUCCAGCCUUACGCGCAGCGCUCGGUGGUCAAUCGCCCAUGCGCCAAGCUCGCGUUCAAGUUCUUCGGCCCCUACAAGAUCAUCGAGAAGAUCGGCUCGCUCGCAUACAAGCUCGACCUGCCACCAGAGAGCCAGGUCCACCCCGUCUUCCACGUCUCACAGUUGAAGCCCUUCACACCUGACUUCACGCCAGUGUACGGGGAACUACCCAAGGUGCCCGACCUCUCCACCGCCGGCCUCUUCCCAACACGCAUCCUGGAUCGGCGCAUGAUGAAGCAUGGAGACGCGCCAGUGGUGCAAAUCAAGGUCCAGUGGGGAGCAAGCAACACCGUACCGAUGACGUGGGAGGAUUAUGAGGUUCUCCGCCACCGCUUUCCAUCCGCAGAGCUCUGGGAGGAGGACGACGCCGGCGACGACGCGGUGGAAGAAGAUGACGCAGCGUCUUAA
rnacentral:rRNA from 1 species